AACUCCAUAAGGGAAAGGAUUUGUAUCUAUUUUGAUGACUGCUGUAUUCCCGGCACCUAAAGUACCUGACACAUAAUAGAUGCUUAGACCUCUGGAGAAAAGAUCGCUGCUUCCAUUAGACGGAGGGCUUGAUUUGGCAGUAAACGCUGCAUGUUGUGUUCACAAGCACCUGUUACAGAAGGAGAAAAGCUUUGAAGAAGCAAGAUGCAGUGUUGUGAGCUGCCUUUGGAGAGGCCCACAUGGCACAAGGCUGAGGGUGGCCUCCAGGUGACAGCCAGUAAGAAACUGAGGCCCUCAUUAUGAUAGCCUGCGGGGAACUGAAUGCUGAGCUUGGGAGUGGAUGCUUCCCCAGUCAAGCCUCACAUGGGACCUGA